AAGGGCACCACAAGAACGCGUGGAGCAUGUGGCUUAAUUUGACUCAACGCGGGAAAAUCUUACCGGGUCCGGACACACUGGAGGAUUGACAGGCAAUAUUAAUAUGUGGUAUACUUUUUUUCUUUCACGAGUUGGAAAGCUUUACGUAUAUUAUGUUAAAUAUGCUAGUCCUUUCAUGAUUAUGUGAUAGGUGGUGCAUGGCCGUUCUUAGUUCGUGGAGUGAUCUGUCUGCUUAAUUGCGUUUCACUAAGGGCCUAUACAAUUACGUAUGUUGUUGAUUGCACUUUGACCCCUCCUUCACGGGUGCGUGUGUCUUUGCUUGCUAACAACUCAUACAAUUAAGGUCCUGAAAGCAACGAACGUGACCGCAACCUCUUGUUGCUUUCGUAUACCAUUUAUAAMACAGUUUUUUUUUUAUGCUUUACUGCGUAUAAAAUUUCUGUGCAAGAAAGCUUUUUAAACUAGAGGGACCGCUGUUAUCUUCUUAAACCAGAGGAAGGUUGCGGCAAUAACAGGUCUGUGAUGCCCUUAGAUGUUCCGGGCUGCACACGUGCUACAAUGAUUAUUGCAGUGAGCAUCUCAUUUUUUACACACCGCAUGCGCGAGUCCAUUUAUUCACAUUGCCUUCACGGGCUGUGC
rnacentral:rRNA from 1 species